AAACGGCCGCGGUAUUUUGACCGUGCAAAGGUAGCGUAAUCAAUUGUCUUUUAAAUGAAGACCUGUAUGAAAGGUGAAACGAAAACUCAACUGUCUCAUUCUUUUAACCAAUGAAAUUGAUCUCUCCGUGCAGAAGCGGGGAUGAAAACAUAAGACAAAAAGACCCUGUGGAGCUUCAGACAAAACAGCCAUGGCUUUACAUACACCUUGUAAAACUACGAACCCUGUUAACAUCUUUGAUUGGGGCGAUCGCGGAGAAAACACACCCUCCAUGAAGAAAAACACUAUUUUGAUAAUUAAGAGCCACAGCUCUAAAUACUAAAACAUUUAACUUCACGAACCGGCUAGCCGAUUAACGAACCCAGUUACCCCAGGGAUAACAGCGCAAUCCCCUUAAAGAGUACUUAUCACCAAGGGGGUUUACGACCUCGAUGUUGGAUCAGGACAUCCUAAUGGCGCACCCACUAUUAAGGGUUCGUUUGUUCAACGAUUAAAGUCCUACGUGAUCUGA
rnacentral:rRNA from 1 species